rnacentral:rRNA from 1 species
UACGGGGGGGCAAGCGUUGUUCGGAAUUACUGGGCGUAAAGGGCUCGUAGGCGGCCAACUAAGUCAGACGUGAAAUCCCUCGGCUUAACCGGGGAACUGCGUCUGAUACUGGGUGGCUAGAGGUUGGGAGAGGGAUGCGGAAUUCCAGGUGUAGCGGUGAAAUGCGUAGAUAUCUGGAGGAACACCGGUGGCGAAGGCGGCAUCCUGGACCAAUUCUGACGCUGAGGAGCGAAAGCCAGGGGAGCAAACGGG